rnacentral:tRNA from 1 species
UCCCUAAUGACUUAUAUGGUAAAGAAUCUGCCUACAAUGCAGGAGACCUGGGUUCAGUUCCUGGGUUGGGAA